CGGUGUCGGCGUCGGCAAAGAUGCGUCGUUGUCGGAGGCGGCAAAGGAGGAAGGAAAGGUAGAGGAUGAGAAGGGCGGGGAAGGGCGAGAGAGGCGUUGUCGUCGAAGACGGUGGAGGAGAGUCGAAGAGGAAAAAAAAAAAGAGUCACGGCGCGGUCUCGGCGGGGUCGGAGGCGAGGAAGGGGGGUGCACGGGCGAGGGCGAAAGCGAGGGUGAGAGGCGAGGCGGGCCGUUUUCGCUUCCGCCUCUACCUCCGUUGCCUCUUCGGCGAAAGAAAAAAAAAAUGAACGAGAGAAAAAAAUGGAGAGAGAAAGAGGAGAGAGAAAAAGUAAUAAAGGUAUUUUGGUCAAUUUGCUGAAAAUCCGGUCCGAAUUUACAAAAUCGAAAAAGGUAGCCCACUUUUACAAAAGCAUAAAACUAGUGGAUUUUUUUUAUGCAAAUUGGCCUAUUUUUUUUUCGAGAUAAUGGGUCAUUUGCUUUUUUGG
rnacentral:lncRNA from 1 species